GACGAACCGAGCGAACGUUGUUCGGAAUCACUGGGCUUAAAGGGCGCGUAGGCGGGUGCUCAAGUCUGUGGUGAAAUCCUCCGGCUCAACCGGAGAACUGCCAUGGAUACUGGGUGUCUCGAGGGUGGUAGGGGUAUGCGGAACUAUCGGUGGAGCGGUGAAUGCGUUGAUAUCGAUAGGAACUCCGGUGGCGAAGGCGGCAUACUGGACCACUUCUGACGCUGAGGCGCGAAAGCCAGGGGAGCAAACGGG
rnacentral:rRNA from 1 species